AACGAACGCUGGCGGUAUGCCUAACACAUGCAAGUCGAACGAGAAAGUGAUCUUCGGAUCGCGAGUAGAGUGGCGCACGGGUGAGUAACACGUGGAUAACCUGCCCUAUGAUCUGGGAUGACAUUUCGAAAGGGAUGCUAAUACCGGAUAAGCCCCACGACCUCUUUGGGGGAUGUGGGAAAAGAUUUAUCGUCAUAGGAUGGGGUCCGCGGUCCAUUAGGUAGUUGGUGGGGUAAUGGCCUACCAAGCCUGCGAUGGAUAGCUGGUCUGAGAGGAUGAUCAGCCACACUGGAACUGAGACACGGUCCAG
rnacentral:rRNA from 1 species